AGAAUUUUAAUGGUCGAACAGACCAACCCUUAAAGACUUCUGCACCUUUAGGAUAUUCUGGUCCAACAUCGAGGUCACAAACCCUUUUUUCGAUUAGAGCUCUCAAAAAAGAUUAUGCUGUUAUCCCUACGGUAACUAAUUCCAUUAAUCAAUACUAUAUUGGAUCAAUAUAGGUAUAUUUUGUUAAAUAAAAGAAGCUUUUUUUGUUCCUCAGUCGCCCCAACCAAAAUUUUUAAUAAUUUAUUUUUCAUGUAUGUUUUUAAUUUUUAUAUUAAUUUCUUUAAAGCUCGAUAGGGUCUUCUUGUCUUUUAAUUUAAUUUAGACUUCUUCAUCUAAAAAUAAAAUUCUAAUAAAUAAAAGAGAGACAGUAUUACUCUUGUCAAACCAUUCAUACCAGUCCCCAAUUAUAGGACAAAUUAUUAUGCUACCUUCGCACGGUUAAAGUACCGCGGCCGUUAAAAAAUUUCACCGGGCAGGUUAGACUCUUUAUAAAAAUUAUUUCAAAGAGAC
rnacentral:rRNA from 1 species